UACGAAGGGUGCAAGCGUUACUCGGAAUUACUGGGCGUAAAGGGUGCGUAGGUGGUCGUUUAAGUCCGUUGUGAAAUCCCUGGGCUCAACCUGGGAAUGGCAGUGGAUACUGGACGGCUAGAAUGCGGUAGAGGGUAGUGGAAUUCCCGGUGUAGCAGUGAAAUGCGUAGAGAUCGGGAGGAACACCAGUGGCGAAAGCGGCUUCCUGGACCAGUACCGACGUUCAGGCACGAAAGCGUGGGGAGCAAACAGG
rnacentral:rRNA from 1 species